CCAAAAAAAACGUUCUUGUCAAAUAUUCAGUAAUCGCAAUAAUACCAGUAAUAAAUAUUUCUUAAGUAAUUAACCUCAGUGAAUGAGUGUCAUAUGAACCCAGAUUUGUUAAAUAUUUGAUAUACCAUUUAAUUAAGCAUAAUAGAAAUUGUUGACAUAAAUAACAUGUGUUACUCAAGAUUGGCAUUACAACAAUAUUAAAGGAAAGGAUUGUAUGCAGUUUAAUUUAUGCUUCUCUCAUUUAUGUAAAAAAAAAAAAAUGUUAGAAAAUUUUGUGCAUUAUCGGUUGUUUUCAAAAUACAAUUAUUUUGGUAUUUAAGGAAUGACUGUAAUAUUUUUUGUGUCUAUGAAGAAAUAACAUAAAAAAUUUGGUGCACACUGAAUAAAACGCAUAGCGGGUUAUUUAACAGUGUGAACCACAUUUUUUAUGUUAUUUCGAAUAGACAGAAAAAAUAUUACAGUCAUUUCUUAUAAUUUAAUUCUAAAUUCUUUUAAACCGUAGAAAACCAUGAAAAAACGUUGAUUACGUCACGGUCACAGGACUAAAUUAUGUCUAUGGGCUCAUAACAAAACAACGUCAGCCAAUCAGAAGAUCCGUUACAUCCAAAAUUAAAUUAUUAAGAAAUAAAUGUUAUGUAUAUUUGACUUGUUUGUUUAUAUUUUUUAGUAUUUUUUUCUAUUUAUUCACUUUAAAUAAGAAUAUAAAGUUGACAUACGGCAAAUGGGUCAAGGACAGGACAGAUACUGAUUAUCAGGAGGGUUAUUUAUUUUGAAGUCAUGGGAAGAAUAGUGACACUGUUCAUGUUGAAUUGUAUUUUUUAUAGAAAAUAUGACAAUCAAUUUGAAAACACCGUGAAAACACAAAUGAGAACUAGACAAUACCACAGCAUCAUGUGGACUUGAUAAUUUUUUAAGACAUCACAGUGUCCAUUAGAUCUAAUGUAAUUUUUCAUAAAAUACAUGUACAUGGCUUUUAGUGCCAAGAGUUCUUUACUUAUAGUGUUUAUUUAUAUAACACGUGUUUAUCGUUUCUAAAGAAAUAUAUAUAUAUACCACCAGUAAACUUUUAUUUCAAGGGUGAAAUGGUUUUGAAAUUAAAUUAUAUAUAAAUUUUGACUAACAAUUGUAAUCAAUAUAAUAUCCUAAUUCUUGUACAAUUUUUUGUUUGCUCAUCUAUGGUCAGUAAUUGUAAAUAUUUAUUUUUCUUCACACAUAGUUUAUUUUUGUAAGUUAGUAAAAGAUGUAUUGUCGGCCCUGACAAGGAAAGGUUCUUAUUUCAGGCCAUUAGAUUUUCAGUAAUGAAGGUCAAGGCCAUUAGAUUUACAGUAAUGAAGGUCAAGGCGAGAGCUUGUAAUAGGUUGUAAUUGUAUAUAGAUUUUUUUUAUUCCAAUAUACUAUUUUAUUUGUAUAAACUUUUUUAUUAAGCUUUACACAUGUGUAGAUAUAUGCUUUAUUCAUGCAAAACAUAAUUGAUCUAUGGUGCUAGACCUUGUUUUACUGUGUAAUUCACAUUUUAAAUUCUUAUUUUAAUAAAUAAAGUUGUUCUUGUUGAAAUAAAAUAUUUAAAAUACUAAA
rnacentral:lncRNA from 1 species